UAUUGGUCAAUGGGCGCGAUCCUGAACCAGCCAAGUAGCGUGAAGGAUGACGGCCCUAUGGGUUUUAAACUUCUUUUAUAUGGGAAUAAAAUGAGUUACGUGUAGCUUUUUUUAUGUACCAUAUGAAUAAGGAUCGGCUAACUCCGUGCCAGCAGCCGCGGUAAUACGGAGGAGCCGAGCGUUGUCCGGAUUUAUUGGGUUUAAAGGGAGCGUAGGUGGAUUGUUAAGUCAGUUGUGAAAGUUUGCGGCUCAACCGUAAAAUUGCAGUUGAAACUGGCAGUCUUGAGUACAGUAGAGGUGGGCGGAAUUCGUGGUGUAGCGGUGAAAUGCUUAGAUAUCACGAAGAACUCCGAUUGCGAAGGCAGAUCACUGGACUGUUGACCGACACUGAGGCUCGAAAGUGUGGGUAUCAAA
rnacentral:rRNA from 1 species